rnacentral:lncRNA from 1 species
UAAGUUCUCAUUAUUCUCUAUGUCUCCCACCUCGAUCAAAUAUCAAGCAAUAUGCUUGACGAUCAACUCAUUUGUAUCACCAGCAAUGAGCUUAGGGACUUCUCAUCCCCUUGGCAAUUCAGUUUGUAACACAUAUUCUGAUAAAGGAAAUGUAUAAGUUGGCCUUUGUAGGCCUAUGUUUACACCAUUUUGAGCCAUUAUCCGUUCGACAAUGGUUACAAGGUUG